GACGAACGCUGGCGGCGUGCUUAACACAUGCAAGUCGAACGGAAAGGCCUGCUUUCCCUUGUGGAUUGCGGGUGCUCGAGUGGCGAACGGGUGAGUACCACGUGAGUGAUCUGCCCCCACCUUGGGUAUAAGCCUGGGAGACUGGUUCUAAUUCCCGAUAGCACGACAGGGUGUUUCCUGUUGUUGAAAACGAUUUUCGAGGGGGUGGGGAUGAGCUGGCGGCCGAUCAGCUGGUUGGUGGGGUAAUGGCCUGCCAAGGCGGCGACGGGUAGCCGGCCUGAGAGGAUGGCCGGCACAAUUGGGACUGGGAUCCGGCCAAGCUUCCACCGGGAGGAAGCAGGGGGGAAUAUUGCACAAGGGGGGGAAGCCUGAUGAAGCGACGAGGGGUGGGGGAUGCCGGCCUUCGGGUUGUAAACUCCUUUCGACAGCGAGGAAGCCGCCGGGUUGGAAGGGUGGUGACGGUAGUGGUAGAAGAAGCACCGGCUAACUACGUG
rnacentral:rRNA from 1 species